CCGCACGGUCUCAUUCCUCCGCUUCACUUGGUUGAACUGCAUCAGUCUGUUUGACGACUCUCAAAAUGCCGGACGCUACUAAUAUAAAGCGUUUAUGGAGGCCACGUCAAAGACUUGAGUGUUUCAAGAUGAUCCAUUUUGUGCUGGGAUCAGCUACCUGACAGAGGCAUUUUCCUGGCUUGUAUGCAGAUGAAUGCCGAUCCACUGUAUGCUGGAAUCAGCUACUUGACAGAGAUUGCUGAGAGAAGUCAGCUUGUCGACGGCAGGCAACGGAAAACAAGGCAAGUUAAAAGGAGGUGAACUUACCCCUCAAGUAGAUGCACUCAUGCAGCAAUUGAGGCAAAGGUUACCUGUGGGCACUUGCUGAAUGGGCUAAAGAAACUUGGUUUACCUUCAGCCGCCCCUCCUGUCUGCAGCAUAUCUAAAAGGGUUGCCUUUUGAAGUUGGUACAAAGAGGAAGUGUACACUUGCUGAAUGACCAAAGCUUGAUUGAUAUUCAGCCACCACCCCCUUGUCUGCAGCAUAGCUGAAAUGGUUGCCUUUAAGUUGGUACAAAGAGGAAAUGAGCAUUUGCUGAAUGGAAUGAAGACAACCUGAUUUGUUUGUUCUAUGAAUAAAGAAACUUCUAUAACUCCUU